rnacentral:rRNA from 1 species
GCUACUGCUAUCGGGGUUCGAUUAAGCCAUGCGAGUUAAAUGUUCUUCGUGAACAUAGCGAACUGCUCAGUAACACGUGGAUAACCUACCCUUAGGACCGGAAUAACCCCGGGAAACUGGGGAUAAUACCGGAUAAGCCAUAGGCGCUGGAAUGCCCUAUGGUUCAAAGCUCCGGCGCCUAAGGAUGGAUCUGCGGCCUAUCAGGUUGUAGUGGGUGUAACGUACCUACUAGCCGACGACGGAUACGGGUUGUGAGAGCAAGAGCCCGGAGAUGGAUUCUGAGACACGAAUCCAGGCCCUACGGGGUGCAGCAGGCGCGAACACUUUACAAUGCGGGAAACCGCGAUAAGGGAACCCCGAGUGCCAGCAUCAAAUGUUGGCUGUCCAGAUGAUUAAAAAUCAUUUGUUAGCAAGGGCCGGGCAAGACCGGUGCCAGCCGCCGCGGUAACACCGGCGGCCCGAGUGGUAGCCGUUUUUAUUGGGUCUAAAGGGUCCGUAGCCGGCCUGAUAAGUCCUUUGGGAAAUCUGGCAGCUUAACUGUCAGGCUUCUAAGGGAUACUGUCAGGCUUGGGACCGGAAGAGGUAAGGGGUACUCCAGGGGUAGGAGUGAAAUCUUGUAAUCCCUGGGGGACCAUCUGUGGCGAAGGCGCCUUACCAGAACGGGUCCGACGGUGAGGGACGAAAGCUAGGGGAGCAAACCGGAUUAGAUACCCGGGUAGUCCUAGCUGUAAACGAUGCUCGCUAGGUGUCAGACACGGUGCGACCGUGUUUGGUGCCGCAGGGAAGCCGUUAAGCGAGCCACCUGAGAAGUACGGUCGCAAGGCUGAAACUUAAAGGAAUUGGCGGGGGAGCACUACAACGGGUGGAGCCUGCGGUUUAAUUGGAUUCAACGCCGGGACCAA